rnacentral:rRNA from 1 species
AUUGAACGCUGGCGGCAGGCCUAACACAUGCAAGUCGAGCGAGCGGCGGACGGUUUAGUAAUGUCUGGGAAACUUCCUGAUGUUGUUGGAUAACUUCUGGAAACGGUAGCUAAUACCCCCUACCAUCAUCUUUGCCCAAGUGGGAUUAGCUCGUAGGUGGGGUAACGGCUCACCUAGGCGACGAUCCCUAGCUGGUCUGAGAGGAUGACCAGCCACACUGGAACUGAGACACGGUCCAGACUCCUACGGGAGGCAGGAGUGGGGAAUAUUGCACAAUGGGCGCAAGCCUGAUGCAGCAAUGCCGCGUGUGUGAAGAAGGCCUUCGGGUUGUAAAGCACUUUCAGCGGGGAGGCGUUAAACGAAGAAGAAGCACCGGCUAACUCCGUGCCAGCAGCCGCGGUAAUAA